CCAGCAAUGCCGCGUGUGUGAAGCAAGGGCCUUCCGGGUUGUAAAGCACUUUUGUCCGGAAAGGAAAUCCUUGGCUCUAUUACAGUCGGGGGAUGGACCGGUACCGGAAGAAUAAGGCACCGGCUAACUACGUGCCAGCAGCCCGCGGUAAUAACGUAAGGGUGCGAGCGUUAAUCGGAAAUUUACUGGGCGUAAAGCGUGCGCAGGCGGUUUGCUAAGACCCGAUGUGAAAUCCCCGGGCUCAAACCUGGGAAACUGCAUUUGGUGACUGGCAGGCUAGAGUAUGGCAGAGGGGGGGUAGAAUUUCCACGUGUAGCAGUGAAAUGCGUAGAGAUGUGGAGGAAUACCGAUGGCGAAGGCAGCCCCCCUGGGCCAAUACUGACGCUCAUGCACGAAAGCGUGGGGAGCAAACAGGAUUAGAUACCCUGGUAGUCCACGCCCUAAACGAUGUCAACUAGUUGUUGGGGAUUCAUUUCCUUAGUAACGUAGCUAACGCGUGAAGUUGACCGCCUGGGGAGUACGGUCGCAAGAUUAAAACUCAAAGGAAAUUGACGGGGACCCGCACAAGCGGUGGAUGAUGUGGAUUAAUUCGAUGCAACGCGGAAAAACCCUUAACCUACCCUUGACAUGGUCGGAAAUCCCCGGCUGAGAGAGUGGGAGUGCUCGAAAGAAGAAACCGGCGCACAGGUGCUGGCAUGGCUUGUCGUCAGCUCCGUGUCGUGGAGAUGUUGGGUUAAGGUUCCCGCAACCG
rnacentral:rRNA from 1 species